rnacentral:misc_RNA from 1 species
CACCUAUUUUACACUUAACGUCACACCACACCACACGACCUACACACGCUCCCUGGCGAUCUUCGACCCCAAUAGACCCUAGCUGCCCUUCGAAGGUAAGUGCAAUUUCCUUCUUAAUUUUCAACCCCUUUUUUGUAUUUGCUUGCUCACGCCGCAUAUCCUGAUCGCCAUAGGUAUUCCGUACCCGACCCUAGGCAGUCCGCCGGGAGGUCGCUGUUGGGCCCCGAUCCCCGAGGCUUGCGAGGGCUGGCGGGGGUCGUAACAUUUUGGUAGCAGAGCGUGGUUGCCGUAACAUUUUGGUAGCAGAGCGUGGUUCCCACGCCUUGAGCUGCGUGAGUUUAACUGAUAGGGGUUAUAUUUGUUUAGGGUUUAGGUAUUUGUAUUUUGAGUAGCUUCGGGUAGGUCUAGCCUGUGUGGCACAUCCCUAUAUAUAUUUUUUU